rnacentral:lncRNA from 1 species
AAUUCAGCGGGGCUUUUAAUGCUCAAUGGCAUUAGCCUUUAUCUAGAGGCGGGUUUUGGGAGUGAAACGCGUCGGGAAACCGACUGGAAAAGCACUUGCCUGGAAGUUCAAGAACGCAGCUAGUUUAGCAGUGGUAAACAUUGAGGUUCUGGAUCAAAUCAGCUGACUCGCUUCAAAGGACACAGUGAGCUUGCCUGUUUUUGCCCCUGAUGAUGGAAUUAAAAUAUCAUUUUUCUGCAUGUGAAUUGCUAUUUUAGUCGUUAUUUCGCCUCACUAAGUGAAUAAUUUAGCAGUUUUUUCCAAUUUAGACUCAAUCGCGUAUUGUGAGUUGCCUAUAACUGCCCGCCAUCGAUGCUCAGUUGUUCAAGGGCGCUAAUUGAAGGGGCGUCGCUUUUCAAAAUUGCUCUCGGAUAAACGGCCCCAAUUUAGGGUUUAUGGGGUAGAGCCUCAGUUGCGAAGCAAAUCGCGUUUGAAAGUUCCGCAUUUCUAACUUUUAUCCGCCAAAACAACAACGUUAGAUCCCAUCGAUGUUCAGUACCGUGCGGGAAGUGAAGGAGUGUCGCGUUUGAAAUUUCCUCCCGGAUAAACGGCCCCAAUUUAAGUUGAAUUAACAUUUUCGUGAAGCCGAAAUUUCCCUCUUUAUUUCGGUGGAUCGGGUUUAUAGGGGAAAGUGUUCGCUGCGUAGUAAAUUGCUUUUGAAAAUUCGGCAAUUCUGACAUUAAUCCGCCAAAACAACAAGGUUAGAUCCCGGCUGGCUUGUAGGCGUGUUGACAGUGUAGCAGCUAGUCGUCUCCAAGGGGAUCCGAAACGGCACGCCACUGCUAAUGGAAUCCGAGGGUCAUGCGGAUCGGAGAGAACAGAGAAGAUACCUGCUCGACCAGCUUUCUUUCAUGGUCUUCGUAAUCGAUGGUAAUCUUACUGUAUGCGUUGCAUUGGCCCCGAAAUGUGCAGUUUGUUUCAGGGAUUUGCUUCAAUAAUGGGCGUGAUUUGUCAGAUUCUUCUCUUUGGUCAACGGUUCAAAACAGACAUGGAAUUCUCCGCUAAAUGGCGAAUUUGUGCUUUAAAUUUAACUGGAUAGUUUUCAAUCGCAUAUGUAUUGGAGAGAACCGAUUGUAUCAAAAAGUUGACCAACACAAAAAGGAGGAUGCGACUGAUAUUGGGCCUGGGUAACACUGUGUUGAGUUGCUCGUUUGAGUUAUAAUUUUUCGCGAAAAAAACAUCCAGAUUGUCAGUAUUUUGAAGUAAAAGCGUUUAUUAAAAGCGAA